rnacentral:rRNA from 1 species
UACGUAGGGGGCAAGCGUUAUCCGGAUUUACUGGGUGUAAAGGGAGCGUAGGCGGCGGAGCAAGUCAGAAGUGAAAGCCCGGGGCUCAACCCCGGGACGGCUUUUGAAACUGCCUUGCUUGAUUUCAGGAGAGGUAAGCGGAAUUCCUAGUGUAGCGGUGAAAUGCGUAGAUAUUAGGAGGAACACCAGUGGCGAAGGCGGCUUACUGGACUGACAAUGACGCUGAGGCUCGAAAGCGUGGGGAGCAAACAGG